UACGUAGGGGGCGAGCGUUGUCCGGAGUUACUGGGCGUAAAGCGUGCGCAGGCGGUUGUGCAAGACAGAUGUGAAAUCCCCGGGCUUAACCUGGGAAUUGCAUUUGUGACUGCACAGCUAGAGUGUGUCAGAGGGGGGUAGAAUUCCACGUGUAGCAGUGAAAUGCGUAGAUAUGUGGAGGAAUACCGAUGGCGAAGGCAGCCCCCUGGGAUAACACUGACGCUCAUGCACGAAAGCGUGGGGAGCAAACAGG
rnacentral:rRNA from 1 species